rnacentral:lncRNA from 1 species
CCAGACCUGCUUCCCAAGCCUAGUUCUUUAGCUGGAGCAAUCUCCUUUUGUGCUGGCUCGGUGGACACGGUUUUGUCCCUCUCAACCCAUAACCUUCUUGAAAAAGAGUUCAAGAGGACAGCUAGCCCCUAGGGUGUCCACAAGACCAAACUGGUGAUCACCCUGCCAGGGGUCUUAAGAUGUGUGGAAGUCAGGGAUGGCCAAGGAAGGCCUUCAUUCAGCACGGCGCCUCACAGGCUGGGCAUCCUUUUCACCAACUGCCUGUUCCUCUACUGUCUUCACACACACUUGCCUAGGUCCUGUCCUCUGGCUUCAUUGAAGCACACAUGCUGGCUAGAUCUCCCUAGUGAUGCUGGGAUGCUGGCUUGGAAUAGAACGGCCAAAGGCCCUACAUCUGGGCAGUGAUGGACCUCUGGGAGCUAGAGGAGAAGAAAAAGUCGAAGGAGAUGAAGAAAAAAAAAACCCAACAGUGAAUAACUCGGAAGACUUUCCAACAUGUGGGUGUUUUUCUGGGACCAAAGAUCAGGAAGAUUCCAAAUGUAAACAAUCCCAAAAUAACCCAGUUCCCCCAAACCCCAGGCAUUCCCAGGACUGGUUGUCCAUGCUCCCUCCCUUCCCCGCUGGGAACUGGGGUCAGGAAGAGGUGGUAAGGCUGAGGCUCUGCAUGAGGUUGCUGGGGUAGGGCCUUCAGCACUGUGUGAGCUCUGUGAGCAUAAGUGGAUCUUGUCAUUAGAGAACUUUGGUGUCCUUUCUCUUGGGAGAGGGGCUUCUUGGUGCCACAUUGGACCAGCUCUCCAUGAGAUAAGGGGUUUCUUUGCCUGGUUAUAUCUCAUUGUGCUUAAACCAAACUCUUGGGACUUCUCGCCAGCACAGUGUAAUGGAAAGAAUAUGGACUUUGAAGUCACACAGGGUUGGAAUCUUGGCUCCACAGCUUAUUAAUUGUGUGGCCUUGACUGUGUUAUUUCGCAUCUGGGAAUCUCAGUUUCUUCAUUUAAAACAGGAGUAAUAUUCCUCAUCUGAAACC